UCAGAUUACAGUAGGUGUUGCUGUGUGGGUGAAUUUACGUUCAUCCAAAUGCAACAUUAAGCUCCUUUCAGAGUAAGGUAAAUGAGCACAAAGCCACAUUUGACUGUAAAAAAAAAGCUCCUUGACAAUAUUCUCCAGAUGUCCAUUUAGCAGGCGGAGGAAGAGAGGGGUGAGAUCUGGGUGUGAGUGAUGGCUUCCUUGCCCUGUCUCUCCUCCCAGCUCACCACUGAUGGAUUAAAGCUCUGGACAGGUUUCAGCCCUAUUGAUCCGGCCUGCCACGGCUGCUCACAUCAGUAGGUAUGAGGAGAAAGAGGGAAGAGGAGGAGGAGGAGGAGGAGGGGGGUGGAUGGUAUAGGGAGCAUAAAGGGGGGGUGGUUUUUAGUUUUUUGGGUGAGAUUAAUCAAAAUGAAAUCUGAACAGUGAGAAUCUUCAAACUGUAACAAAAAGGGAAAAGCUGAAUUAAUUACUGUGUUUGUAGAGGCAGUGGGUGGAGAGUAAACCUCUCUCUACUUUGGGAAAAAUCAUCUUGUGUAAAAGUGUUUUCAACAAGCCUGGCAGACUUAAUUUUUACUUAAUGAGCCUGUUUAUCAGCCUGAUAAUUGAUUGUUGUUUUUUUUUUUAUCAUUAUUUUAACAAUUCAAGCAAACUGCUUAUCCAAACACAAACAGAGAGUCCGCGUUGAGUGCUCUGUGCAGCCGUACCACAACAAAGACACCAAUAAAAUCAAUACGAACUGAUCUAAAGGUGUGAUAUUGAUCAUUUUGGUUGAUAAAAAACCGUGUGUCGGUCUUGAACGAACAGAUCAAAAGAACUAGUUCUUUUUGGUGAACGAAAUGAACUAGUUCUCCCCCCCUAAAUGACCCGUUCAGUCCGUUCAGUUCUUUUGAUUGGCUGAAGAGGGACUAUCUCCGUGCUUGCCUGUCUUAUCCUAUCGUCGCGCCUCGUUCUGUGUGUGGGUGGGGCUUAGAGAAGCAGCAGCAGUACUACUGAGCUGACUGAAAGACCGGGAUGACCGAGUUGACUGAAAGAACGGGUUAAAUGAACGAAAGACCGAGUUGAACAAAAGAACGGGUUAAAUGAAAGAAAGACCCAGACGGAUGAACGAGUUGACUGAAAGACCGAGUGAACGAAAGAUCCAGACCGAUGAACGAGUUGACUGAAAGACCGAGUUGACUGGCCGCCGCACGAGCCGACAGCCGAGCCCGAGCGAGCGGGACAGUCUCACACACACAAAGGCACACAGCUGCUGCUGCAGCCAGAGGCAGAGAGACAACUAUUAAUACGCAUUUGCACUGUCUGUUGACAUUUUGUACUUUUUAUUAUUGUUUUUAAUGCACCUCAAAAUAAUAAAAAACAUUAAAAACCUUAUAUAUUUUGUUAUUCCUACUAUCAUUUUAUAUAACAAGAAGUGCAGCGCGAUCGCAGCGUUGGACCGGGGAUGGGAAGUGGGGAGUGCAGCGGUCACAGCGUCGGACCGCGGGGGCGUCGUAACGUCGGACCGGGGAGCUGAGACGCUCUCAACAUCGGAUCCGGAGGGGUGUAAUGCUUCAGAAUUCAAGAUCACAUGUUGUUGCGCUGUUGCGUCUGAAGUGCAGUCAGUCCGUUCGCUCAUCACGUUCAUUCACGAACGUGAACAACAUGAACGAGCGGACUGACUAACGACCGAUUGACCGAAAUGACCAAAAUGAACGGGUCUUUUUACUGAAUGACCCGGAAUGAUCCGGUUCACUGAAAUGAAUGGUUUUGCCCACCACUACAACAUAUCACAGUUAGCACAACCAGAGCAGCAACUACACUCACCGGCCACUUUAUUAGGUACACCUGUCCAACUGCUCGUUAACACUUAAUUUCUAAUCAGCCAAUCACAUGGCGGCAACUUAGUGCAUUUAGGCAUGUAGACAUGGUCAAGACAAUCUCCUGCAGUUCAAACCGAGCAUCAGUAUGGGGAAGAAAGGUGAUUUGAGUGACUUUGAACGUGGCAUGGUUGUUGGUGCCAGAAGGGCUGGUCUGAGUAUUUCAGAAACUGCUGAUCUACUGGGAUUUUCACGCACAACCAUCUCUAGGGUUUACAGAGAAUGGUCCGAAAAAGAAAAAAUAUCCAGUGAGCGGCAGUUCUGUGGGCGGAAAUGCCUUGUUGAUGCCAGAGGUCAGAGGAGAAUGGCCAGACUGGUUGGAGCUGAUAGAAAGGCAACAGUGACUCAAAUAACCACCCGUUACAACCAAGGUAGGCAGAAGAGCAUCUCUGAACGCACAGUACGUCGAACUUUGAGGCAGAUGGGCUACAGCAGCAGAAGACCACGCCGGGUGCCACUCCUUUCAGCUAAGAACAGGAAACUGAGGCUACAAUUUGCACAAGCUCAUCGAAAUUGGACAAUAGAAGAUUGGAAAAACGUUGCCUGGUCUGAUGAGUCUCGAUUUCUGCUGC